rnacentral:lncRNA from 1 species
GUGGGGUCGUGAUGGGAAUGGGGUCGUGGGGUUGUGAUGGAUGUGGGGUGAUGGGCAGUGGGGUUGUGAUGGGAAUGGGGUCAUGGGGUGGUGGGCAGUGGGUUGGUGGUGUGUGGGGUGAUGGGAUGAUGGGCAAUGGGGUGAUGGCAUCAUGGACAGUGGAGUCAUGAUGGGAAUGAGGUGAUGGGGUUGUGAUGGAUGUGGGGUGAUGGGCAGAGGGGUCGUGAUGGGAAUGUGGUCAUGGGGUGGUGGGCAUUGGGGUGGUGGUGGGUGUGGGGUGAUGGGAUGAUGGGCAAUGGGGUAAUGGCAUCAUGGGCAAUGGGGUCAUGAUGGGAAUGGGGUGAUGGGGUGUGGAGCGAUGGGGCAGUGGGCAGUGGGGUGGUGAGGCUGGUAGGGUGGUGGUGAGGUGAUGAGCAAUGGGGUCAUGAUGGGAAUGGGGUCAUGGGAUGGUGGGUGAUGGGGUCGUGAUGGGUGUGGGGUCACGGUAUGGUGGAUGUGGGGUGAUGGGGUGGAGGGAGAUGGGGCAUGGGGAGCGUGGGGUGAUGGGAUGAUGGGCAAUGGGGUGAUGGGGCAGUGGGCAGGGGGGUCGUGGUGGGAAUGGGGUGAUGGGAUGGGGAGUGUGGGGUUGUGGUGGGAAUGGAGUGGUGGGGCGGUGAUGGGAACGGGGUGAUGAUGGGGUGAUGGGAAUGGGGUCAAGGGAUGAUGAGUGUGAGGAUGUGAUAGGAAUGGGGUGGUGACGGGUGUGGGGUGAUGAUGAUGGGGUGCUGGGCAAUGGGGUGAUGGGGUGGUGGGCAGUGGGGUCGUGAUGGGUGCGGGGUCAUGGGUUGAUGGGAAAACGGGCACGGGAACGUGGGGCAGUGGGGCGAUGGGAUGUUGGACCAUGGGGCGCUGGGAUGUUGGACCGUGGGGCGCUGGGAUGUUGGACCGUGGGGCGCUGGGAUGUUGGACCGUGGGGCGCUGGGAUGUUGGACCAUGGGGUGCUGGGAUGUUGGACCAUGGGGCGAUGGGAUGUUGGACCGUGGGGCGCUGGGAUGUGGGACCAUGGGGCGAUGGGGUCACGGCGGUGCCGGGCACUGACGCCGCCGCCCGCAGUGCCGCCGCUGCCCAUCCUGAACCCGGGGCCACCGCUGGAGGAAGGUCAGGGCCGGACGCUGGCGGCCUCGUGCACGGCGGAGGGGAACCCGGUGCCCACGGUGCGCUGGGAGACGGAGGUGCGCGGCGCCAACACCACGCGGCAAUCCCAGCACGACCACUCGGCCUCCGUCACCAGCGAGUUCUUCGUGGUGCCGGGGCGCAGCAUGAACGGGAAGAGCCUGACGUGCGUGGUGGCACACCCGGGGCUGCGCACCGAGAAGAGGAUCACCCACCAGCUGAGCGUCGCCUGUGCGGCACGGGGGGAUGCGGGGGGGUAGGGG